rnacentral:rRNA from 1 species
AACGAACGCUGGCGGCAGGCUUAACACAUGCAAGUCGAGCGCCCCGCAAGGGGAGCGGCAGACGGGUGAGUAACGCGUGGGAAUCUACCCUUCACUACGGAACAACUCCGGGAAACUGGAGCUAAUACCGUAUCCGUCCUUCGGGAGAAAGAUUUAUCGGUGAUGGAUGAGCCCGCGUUGGAUUAGCUAGUUGGUGGGGUAAUGGCCUACCAAGGCGACGAUCCAUAGCUGGUCUGAGAGGAUGAUCAGCCACAUUGGGACUGAGACACGGCCCAAACUCCUACGGGAGGCAGCAGUGGGGAAUAUUGGACAAUGGGCGAAAGCCUGAUCCAGCCAUGCCGCGUGAGUGAUGAAGGCCCUAGGGUUGUAAAGCUCUUUCACCGGUGAAGAUAAUGACGGUAACCGGAGAAGAAGCCCCGGCUAACUUCGUGCCAGCAGCCGCGGUAA